rnacentral:sRNA from 1 species
CUCCAGGCUUUUCAGGCCCUUGUCAUCCCUCGCUACAGGGUUAUCUUUGCCUUAAACAGAGUUCUCGGAAUCAGAGAGAAGGAGCAGGAUGCUCUUCCCAAGCCUGCCCAGCUGUGUUCAACCUCCAGGACGCACAAGAUACCCAAUCCAAACUCCAGACCUGGCUGAUGACUAGGACCAGGUCCAAGCAUUUGCUCGAAGAGAACUGUUGAUGCUGGUCACCCAGGAGGGACUCGGACCCAGUUCUGAUUACUGUCCCCUUGAUUUUUGUUUCUCGAACUUGCUCCCCACGUGGGCAAAGCGCAUGCCACACGCUGGCACAGCAGGAGGAGGCUGCCUGGCCUGGGAGCUCUGAAGAGGUGCUAGGUCUGCAGAGAGCAUCUGUUCAGGCAGCGCUGUGCUCUGUAAAGAAUUCCCGUGGAGAAGGAUAGUGACUGGCUGCUCCUCCAGAAGACUUGGGUUCGAUUCCCAGCACCCACAUGGAGGCUCGACCACUCCUAACUCCAG